UACAGGUUCACUCCAAUUGGCAGGAUACAAAUGCAAGAAGAAAGAAAAUGUAGCCACGUAACAUCCGCGGAGAGAGACAAGGGAGUCCCAAACUCGUUGGGGACAAUCUUUGCAUCUCUCCCUCUCUCUGUCUCUCUCUUGCUUGGCCAACCUAACGAGGGAAUUCGAUUCGUUUGGAGGAUAACGAUGGCUGCACCACCAGCAAGGGCUCGUGCUGAUUACGAUUACUUGAUUAAGCUUCUCUUGAUUGGGGAUAGCGGUGUCGGGAAGAGUUGUCUGCUACUGCGUUUCUCUGAUGGUUCCUUUACAACCAGUUUCAUUACCACUAUUGGCAUUGACUUUAAAAUAAGAACAGUCGAGCUUGAUGGAAAACGAAUCAAAUUGCAAAUCUGGGAUACGGCAGGUCAGGAGCGUUUUCGAACAAUCACAACAGCAUAUUACCGUGGAGCCAUGGGGAUUUUGUUGGUGUAUGAUGUUACUGAUGAAUCAUCUUUCAACAAUAUUAGGAACUGGAUUUGCAAUAUAGAGCAACAUGCUACUGACAAUGUCAACAAAGUACUUGUGGGAAACAAGGCAGAUAUGGAUGAAAGUAAAAGGUUAGGUGUUUCAUUUCAAUCUGUCUCUCCAUGUGUGUGUGUGUGCGCGCACGCGUGUGCGAGCGUGCCAUCCACUGUUGAUGAGGAAGAUAUUCUGUGUCAUUCCUUAGGCUGUGCCUACAUCCAAUGGUAAAGCUCUUGCAGAUGAGUAUGGUAUCAAGUUCUUUGAAACUAGUGCAAAGACAAAUUUGAAUGUGGAUGAGGUUUUCUUUUCAAUUGCAAAGGAUAUCAAGCAAAGGCUUGCAGAAACCGAUUCCAAGGCUGAUCCUCAAACAAUCAAGGUCAACCAACCAGACCAAGCAGCUCAAACGUCAGGUUGCUGUGGCUGAUAAAGGAGAAGGAGAAGGAGAAGGUUAUGCCAAUGGCACCAACUGGGGUAUAAAAUUGAUUCUGAUGACAUUGUGCAGGGCCAGAUAUCUGUGCCCUUAUUAUUUUUCCUAAUUACCAAGCUUAGUGUGUUGAAGGCAGUAUUUAUUUGCUUAAUAUGUGGAAUUUAUUAUGACACUCUUUUGACACUUGCUCUACUUUGGGGCUUGAAUUCAUUUGACUGGCAUUGAUGUAGAUAGAUAAUCAAAAAAUUUAGCUCAUUUCUUCUGAUAUUAUGAUAUUUCUCAUUUUCCUUUUA